rnacentral:tRNA from 1 species
GAGCCCAUAGCUCAGUCAGGUUAGAGCGCUGGUCUUAUAAGCCAGAGGUCCCCGGUUCAAAUCCGGGUGGGCUCA